UACGUAGGGUGCAAGCGUUAAUCGGAAUUACUGGGCGUAAAGCGUGCGCAGGCGGUGAUGUAAGACAGGUGUGAAAUCCCCGGGCUUAACCUGGGAACUGCAUUUGUGACUGCAUCGCUGGAGUGCGGCAGAGGGGGAUGGAAUUCCGCGUGUAGCAGUGAAAUGCGUAGAGAUGUGGAGGAACACCGAUGGCGAAGGCAGCCCCCUGGGUCAAGAUUGACGCUCAUGCACGAAAGCGUGGGGAGCAAACAGG
rnacentral:rRNA from 1 species